rnacentral:rRNA from 5 species
GUUGUUACGAUCUGCUGAGGGUAAGCCGUCCUUCGCCUCGAUUU